UGCGUAGGCGGCCCGUUAAGUCAGGGGUGAAAUCCCGCAGCUCAACUGCGGAACUGCCCUUGAUACUGGCAGGCUCGGAUUGGCGCGAGGCGGGCGGAACGUGGCAUGUAGCGGUGAAAUGCUUAGAUAUGCCACAGAACACCGAUUGCGUAGGCAGCUUGCCAGAGCCAUAUCGACGCUGAGGCACGAAAGCGUGGGGAGCGAACAGGAUUAGAUACCCUGGUAGUCC
rnacentral:rRNA from 1 species